UCGGGCGUAGGUCAGCCGGGCGUAGGUCACCCGGGCGUAGACAUUCGAUGGAAUAGGCGAUUCGGGCGUAGGUCACCCGGGCUGAUCCCGUUCUCUUCGCCGGACCUGUACGCCCGCCAGCGGUGGAGGCGCAUCCAACACCUGGCGAACGACUUCUGGGCCCGCUGGAGAAGGGAGAUCGUCUACGCUGCACAAGAGAGACGCAAAUGGACGAGGGUUGUGCAGAACAUCGAGGUCGACGACAUCGUUCUCGUCGUGGACGACGAGCGCCCGCGCUCGGAGUGGCCGUUGGCGCGUGUCGUCGCUACGCACCCGAGCGGCGACCACCUGGUGCGGAAGGUUCGCGUGCUCCUGGGCGGCUCCGAGUACGAGAGGCCGGUGCACCGCCUUGUGCUUCUCCUGCGGAGGGACUGUACGUGAUUCCCCGUCGAGGAAGCCUGAUGUGGAUUGGUCAGGUCGACCAAUCGAAGCACAAAGUGCUCAGUGAUCUGCUACGGACUAUAUUGAUCAGUGAGUGGGAUGAUCAGUGAGCGAUCAGUGAGUGCGCGUGCAAAACUGAACUCGCCAGAGGAGCGUGACGAUGUGUUGGGUGUUAAGGUGUUACGAUGUGAUCUCGCGUCGAGAUUUAGAGGAAGUGCAAAUUUUGUUCAAAUUUGGGGGAGCCAUGUUCCCGCAUUACAAUUUGCUUGCGGGUUUCCCCAGGAAUAGCGCGGCGAACGCGGCCCUUGAUUUGUUUGCGUGGCGCACUGCGCUUCGUGGCCAGUGAUUCGGCGCUGAGAUAUCUGACACGUGGGCUAUGCCAAAGGAAGGAGAGAUUAUUACGUACAUCAAAGAGGCGACAAUAGAUAAAUCCUAUCAAA